rnacentral:rRNA from 1 species
AACGAACGCUGGCGGCAUGCCUAACACAUGCAAGUCGAACGAGACCUUCGGGUCUAGUGGCGCACGGGUGCGUAACACGUGGGAAUCUGCCCUUUGCUUCGGAAUAACAGUUAGAAAUGACUGCUAAUACCGGAUGAUGUCGAAAGACCAAAGAUUUAUCGGCAAAGGAUGAGCCCGCGUAGGAUUAGGUAGUUGGUGGGGUAAAGGCCUACCAAGCCGACGAUCCUUAGCUGGUCUGAGAGGAUGAUCAGCCACACUGGGACUGAGACACGGCCCAGACUCCUACGGGAGGCAGCAGUGGGGAAUAUCGGACAAUGGGCGAAAGCCUGAUCCAGCAAUGCCGCGUGAGUGAUGAAGGCCUUAGGGUUGUAAAGCUCUUUUACCAGGGAUGAUAAUGACAGUACCUGGAGAAUAAGCUCCGGCUAACUCCGU